AUCAGACCAUACUAGUUCAAGAUCAAUUUGAAUGUGGUAGAUACGAGGCAUCGAGAAAAUCUUGUGAAUCUCCCGCAUCUUCUUCCUCGGCUAGCUCUCUCCUUCUAGCCUUAGUAUACCGUGAUUCUUUUCUCUAUCUAUAACUACACGCAUUGCACGGUGAAUGUGAAGAAUAGAAUGAGCAAGCAACUUUUUUUUAUAGGAUUAGUGGUGCUUAGGAGUUUGAACUCUUACUUUUCAUACAUUGAGUUUAGCAUCCCUUGCUUAGUUUCCAUAUCCCGGUCAAGGCUAUCAACCGAUUCAUUCCUCUUUCCUGCUCUUCCCUAAUGUAAGAUAAGUUAAAAAGGUUGUUUUGUUUCGUAUAUUCAAUCACACUUUUAAACAUAUCAGAAUAAAAUCUAGAAGUGUGAACUCGUUUCUUUGUUUUGUUUUAAUAUUUAAAUUCCAAUUUGCUUAUGAGAUUUUCAAUGGAAUUGGAUUAGAAGGGGUAAUUUGUGAUAAAGGUGAAUUUCCCAUAGCUUUUCCAUGGUACUUGUUCUUGUAUCUGAUCUAUUGAUUUUGUUCAUUUAAUGAAUGCAUCUCUUGUUGCUUUCAAUGACACUACGAAUUAGCAUUUAUUGUAAUUUUGACCCAUUUCUUUGUUAAAUUUUACACAAUAUCUUUAU
rnacentral:lncRNA from 1 species